ACCACCACCGGCGAACCAGUCCCCGCGGAAGCGCCGCUCGCGGCGCGCGGCCCGGGGGACGACCCGGGGACGCGCGUCCCGGCGAGCUACGAACAACCCUCUGGGCGCGGCGAGCGCCAAGGAAUCGAAGCGGAAAGGGCGGCCGCCCCGCCCGGUGCGCGCACGCGCCGAAAGGGGAUGCGGCACCGCGGCCGGGGAUCCGCCGCCCGUCUGUGAAGUCUCUUAGACGACUCUCGGCAACGGAUAUCUCGGCUCUCGCAUCGAUGAAGAACGUAGCGAAAUGCGAUACUUGGUGUGAAUUGCAGAAUCCCGUGAACCAUCGAGUCUUUGAACGCAAGUUGCGCCCGAGGCCACUCGGCCGAGGGCACGCCUGCCUGGGCGUCACGCCACCCAUCGCCCCCCCGCGGCAUUCCCAUGCCCCGCCGGGGAGCGGAGACUGGCCGUCCGUGCCCGAGGGAUCGGCGCGCGGUCGGCGGAAAAGGAAGGCACCGUGCGGCGCGACACGGCGUGUGGGGGUUGAGAGGCGAUCCGUCGCCGAUCGUACGUCGCGCCCGCAUUCCGCCGCGCGGUGCGGCCCGUGGGACCAGACUCCGCCCGCUGCCGCGGGCGCUCGGACCGCGACCCCAGG
rnacentral:rRNA from 1 species